rnacentral:rRNA from 1 species
UAUUAUUUGUGGAUUUAAAUAUUUACUGACUUGAGUAGUAGUAGUUAUGGUCUUGAAACUUAAAGAAUUUGGCGGUAUUUUAGUCUAGUUAGAGGAAUCUGUCCCGUGAUCGAUAUUCCGCGAUGUAUACUUACUUAAUUUUGUGUUUAUAUACCGCCGUUCUAGUAGUAUAUCUUAUAAGAGUUUAAUUUUCUCGAUUUUUUACUCUUUAGGAGUAUUUCAGGUCAAGGUUUAGUUUAUGAUUAAGUGGAGAUGGAUUACAAUAAUUUUUGUUUAUGAUGAAUUAUUGAAUGUAAUUUUGAUUUGAAGGUGGAUUUAAUAGUAAUUUGAUUUAGAAUAUUUAGGUGAUUUUAGCUCUAUAAUAUGUACACAUCGCCCGUCGCUCUCGUUAUAAGAUGAG